CACUGAUCUUCUGAGGAAAGGACUGAGUCAGCUGUGGGAGCACAGGUGAAGGUAAUUCACCCAUGUGACUGGAAGGGGUGGAACCUGACUGCACCUCUUCUAGAAUCCAUUUAAGGGUUGACUGCCAAUAGGGAAGGAUCUCUUUUUGGAGAUCUUUUCUCUAUGGAGUCUUUCCUGUAAACCUUGAUCUUCAGAUACAGGUUUUAUUACUUUAUAGUUUUCGCUUGUGCUGAACUUCCCACUCAUUGUCAGAGCAGGAAUGGAGGAACAUCUUACUUUCCAAGAAACUACACAAAGGAGCCUGAGAAGAGUGAAAUAUGAGAGAAUUCUCCUAUGAAAAUUUUCCUUCCCCUUGAAACUCCUUAUGAAUUCCGAAAGACAUGUAACUAAUUUACAGAAAUUUUACAUUCUUCUGGGAAUUCUCCCUGGUGAAAGAUCAGUACAGAAGCAGGACUAAAUCUUUAGCUGAAGAAAAAUAUAUUAUGGCAGCUCAUUAAUGGAGAAUAUUUUCUAGUUGCAUUCAGCUGAUGAAACCUGUCUCAGAGGUAGCUUUCCAAAGUAAGUUGUUGCAGUCAAUAAUCAUCACUGGAAAACCAACGCAUAUAAUAGUGGUACACAGGUGAAAGUAACAGUACUGUUUUAAACAUACACAGACUUAGUAGUUUUCUAUGCAAUAAGUCUCGCAUGUAGCCAGAAAGCAGAUGAAAAAAUAUAUAAAAAAAAAAAAGUGUGACACCAUAACUAUUGAAACUGUAUACCUCUGCAUAAAUUAAAAAUCCAUCAAAAAUCACUGCUUUUGAGAUAUUGAUCUUCCAGGGUGAAAAAUUACCAGUUAUUGAAUUACCUCACACUUCUAAGAGUCUAGAAUAUUUGGGAAUAAACCUUCUAUAUUUUGAAUGGUAAAGUUUAAGAAAUUAACCACAUGGAGAAACAGAAAUUUGUCUGGCUGGUGGUACCUUCCAACUGAUACUAUUUAGUCCAUUCAAAACUCUUUUCAACAAUUGUAUCUGAAAGUGUGAAAACAAUCAGAUUACGUUGCUGUGUUUUCCUGUAAUUGUCAAUGUACUGCAUUUAUGCAAUCGUCGUAUGCUGUGAAAGCUUCAAACUCUGGCUGUGGAAUACCUAAGGUCAGGCAAACUGCAAAUUUGAAACUGCUAGUCAAAUAGCUGUAAGAUUUUAGUUUGCCAACCACUCAUUUACACAGAUAUUCAUUUGCCACUGUAAGUUAUCUUCUGUUGUUUGUAAGACCUUAUUUUACACACUUCAGAUAAUGUGGGCAAGAUAAAAUUGUAAAUUAUUACUUUUUGAUAACUGCAUGAAUAUAUGACUUGAUUGUUUUUUACCAUCAAAACUAAGCCUAAAAUAAUCUAGGCUUUGAACAAACAGAAUAUCCCAAUUACACAUUGCUAUUUCCCUUCCAUGUACAUACUGAAACUUGAAUGAUUUUUUUUUUUCCUUUAUUGGGAAGAUGUUUUAAGUGAAACCACUUUUACUCAGUUCUGUCAGAUUUUUCACUGAUUUAUUGUUUACUGUCAGAUACCUUUUCCCAUUCUCUGAGUCACUUGAAAUAGAUUAUGAUUACUAAUGAACAUUUGGUCAAAAAAGCUAGCUUACUCCCGAAUCCAUGGAAGAGAAUCACUCAGAAAUAUUAGGUAAAAAUCAUAUAACUGAAAAGUGUUGAUUUUUUUAAAUUUUUCCAUUGGGUUUAAUUUUCAUAGGUUUAGGACUCUGUUCAGUACAUUCAGAUUUAUCAGUUAUCCAAAUGUAGAAGUGUUGUACUAUUCAUUGUACCUAACCAACCUACUCUCUAGCCUCCUAAAACUAUUUCUUGUUUUUUAUUAUCCUUUUUUUCUUCUUUUCUUUUUUUCCCUUUUGUCCAUAUAGACCCAGGAGAAACUUAUGCUGUUUCUCCUGCUGGCAUCUGUUUUCUACUUAAGCCCAUUUGCUAUUCACAUAACCAUUUAUAUCUCUAAACCAGUUGAGAGUAAGAAAAAUGAGACAUGUGACAGAGAGGUACAUUGAAAAAUAGCCACACUCUAGAGUAGUUAUUUCAGGUUUUAAACCAUAACAAAGAAAGAUGCUAUGAUGACAGAAGAAUUCAAAAUAAUAUCAGCAGCAGGAUAUGAAGAAGCUCAUGAGGCUUUCUGGGCACCAAGUAUGACAGAUCUGCUGGGAGUGGAGGAGCAGUCUGAAGACAUCAGAAGUCGGGGUCAUCGUUCAGACAGCAGGCUAAUCACUGAUAUGUUCAUAUAUUUGAACAAGCAUUGACCUCUGUAAGAAGGCUGUGGAAAAAAAUAUAUAUGCAUGCAGAAAUACUUGUCCUAAGCGGAAUGGAACAUGAAGUGAAUCAACUAUAGAAGUUUUUGCAAGGAAAAGAUAAAGUACGUAAUCAGUUCCUGGGAUAAGGAGAUCCUUAAAGAGACAGGCAAAAAGAAUAUUUUUCUGAGUUCAGUGGUAUUUGAUGUCAUGAACACACUGGACAUUUCUUAGAUGUCUGGGACUGGUCAUGACUGGUUUUGUACACAGAGGUACCUCUGAGAUACUUCUGCUGCUGGGAGAGAUGAGAAGACAAGGAGGAAACAGCGAUGAGACAAUACACUGUUCAGUCAGAGCAAAAUGCUGUUCAGUAUGAGACAGUUACUUUUAAGAAGCAUGUGAAAGAAAUGAUGUAAAAUAACUGGUGAAACAUGGAUUAGUCUGGAAGAUUAUAGCUAUCAAGUUUACCUUAAUAUGGUAUUUAAAACAAAACAAUUAUACAGUUAUCUCCAUUGUUUAUGAAACAAAGCUUGGAAAUUAACAAAACAACGACAACAAUAACAUUCCUAGCAAGAUGGUAUACGUGUUUAUAGAUGCCUCCAUAUUUUGUUUGGCUUCAAAACUGUAUUUAGAUCUCAUCUCUGUUACUGUAGCUUUUCUAGCUGUGAUACUGGGCUCAGUUUUCAUUCAUUAUUAUUUACUCUGUAGUAUUAUGUUUGACAGAAUGUCAGUAACAAAUACAGUAUUCUUUUUUUUCACUGGGAUCCAUUUUCUGAUAUUAAUCAAAUGCUUCCCAUUUCCUCGUGUUAAAAAAAAAAAAAA